rnacentral:rRNA from 1 species
CCCUUAGAUGUCCUGGGCCGCGCGCGUGCUACACUGAUGCAUACAGCGAGUACUUUCCAGCUCCGCGAGGCAGCUGGUAAUCAGCAAUAUGCAUCGUGCUGGGGAUAGAUCUUUGGAAUUAUAGAUCUUGAACGAGGAAUUCCUAGUAAGCGCAAGUCAUUAGCUUGCGCUGAUUAAGUCCCUGCCCUUUGUACACACCGCCCGUCGCUCCUACCGAUUUCGAGUGAUUCGGUGAACCUUUUGGACAGCGUCUGUCCUCGUGUCAGAUGCUGAAAGUCAAGUAAACCAUAUCACUUAGAGGAAGGAGAAGUCGUAACA